AAAACUCACCAGGUCCAGAUACACGUAUGAAAGACAAGCUGAAAGACUUUUCUCAAUGAUGUAAGUGGUGGUGCAUGGUCGUUCUUAGUUCGUGGAUUGAUUUGUCUGGUCUAUUCCGAUAACGAGCGAGACCCCUACGUUCCUAAUAUGGGGCGGCAGCCCGGCUUUACUCCUCGGAGUCUCGCUAGCAGCCGCCUAACUAGCUUCUUAGACGUAUCAGAGCCGAUAAGGUUCUUGAAAUGGGUUAAUAACAGGUCAGUCAUGCCCUUAGAUGUUCUGGGCCGCACGCGCGUUACAAUGGUAUACAGCAGAAAGUGCUCACACGGGCUUUUCCGCGGCCUACUGGCCGUGGUAAUCCUUAGUCUCUCCCUUGACUGGGCCAGACUAUUGCAAUUAUUGGUCUCCAACGAGGAAUUUUUAGUAGUCGCAGGUCAUUAACCUGCGACGAAUGC
rnacentral:rRNA from 1 species